rnacentral:rRNA from 1 species
CUAAUACCGCAUAAUCCCGAGAGGGCAAAGCCGAAAGGCACCGAAGGAGGAGUCCGCGGCCGAUUAGCUAGUUGGUAGGGUAAAAGCCUACCAAGGCAAAGAUCGGUAGCCGGCCUGAGAGGGCACACGGCCACACUGGCACUGAAACACGGGCCAGACUCCUACGGGAGGCAGCAGUGGGGAAUCUUGCACAAUGGGGGCAACCCUGAUGCAGCGACGCCGCGUGAGCGAUGAAGCCCUUCGGGGUGUAAAGCUCUUUCGGCAGGGAAGAUAGUGACGGUACCUGCAGAAGCAGCUGCGGCUAACUACGUGCCAGCAGCCGCGGUAAUACGUAGGCAGCAAGCGUUGUUCGGAGUUACUGGGCGUAAAGGGUGUGUAGGCGGUCCUGUAAGUUUGGUGUGAAAUCUCCCGGCUCAACUG